rnacentral:rRNA from 1 species
UACGUAGGGGCAAGCGUUGUCCGGAAUCAUUGGGCGUAAAGGGCGCGUAGGCGGUGCGGUAAGUCACCUGUGAAAACUCUGGGCUCAACUCAGAGCCUGCAGGCGAAACUGCCGUGCUUGAGUGUGGGAGAGGUGCGUGGAUUCCCGGUGUAGCGGAUGAAAUGCGUAGAUAUCGGGAGGAACACCUGGUGGCGAAAGCGGCGCACUGGACCACAACUGACGCUGGAGGCGCGAAAGCUAGGGGAGCAAACAGG